CCUUCCUUCCAGUGUAUCGACUGCCCCACUUGGCUUGGUGUCAUCCGCAAACUUGCUGAGGGCGCACUCGAUGCCAUCAUUUGUGUCAUUGAUGAAGAUGUUGAAAUGUUACCUAUCACCUACCGCAUGUGGAGCAGACUGCGUAGUUGGUGAGACCACCUGGUAAGGGGCUGUGUUAUUUGCAAUUGUUACACAACAGCCCACACACGUGACUGAAAUCUUCCUGCAUUACAAAAUAAUACACCUUCUUCUGUGGCUCUUAUUCACUGACACCAGGAAGAGUUUUGUUUGCUGGGUUUGGUUUGAUUUUUUCAAGGUUUUUUUUUUUUUUUUUAAUAAUUCCACUUAAAGGAAUGCAGUCACCACAUAUUCCUUGUUUGUGUUCCAUCCUCCCUCGGACACGCUGCUACAAGCUGCCCGCUGGGGAUGAGCACCCUGACAGGUGACUGCUCUCCAGAGGACAUCACUCACUCCCAUUGCCAUCGCCCCCGUCACUGCCUGCCCUUGCAUUAUCCAGGGGCUCCUGUCCAUUGGGUACCUGGAUUGGACAACACUAUUGCACAUUUGUAUUUACUAAUGUGAGGCAGGAAGGAGAUUUACUUUGGCAAGUGAACUUAUUACCUUAGUUCCUGGCACUACCAAUUUCCUGGCACUGGAAAACUGUUUGCAAUAACAGCUCUCUUUUUGUAGCUCUUAAGCCCCAGACUGUUUCAUCAUUUUGGACCAGCAAGCAGGAAGCAAUUGAUAGGCCAUUUAACCAUGCAGUUCCCUGCUUGGAACCACCGAGUUUGAAAUGAGCUCCUUUCUAGAACCACGUGUUUUCUUAGAAAACUACAUUUCACCCCAGCUUUCCCCAUCCAGCUCUGAUUCUUUUGCUUCAAAGAAUUUAUCUUUGAACACGCUUAUCUGGCCCAGUUUCUCUGCUUUUUCUUUUCUUUUUUUUAAUGUUACGAAACCUUUUAAUGUAUUUUUCAAUAUUUAUUUAUUUAUUUAUUUGAAGUUUAAUUAAGCACCUAGUGAGAUCACUAAUGCUUGUAAAGCACUGGGAGAUAAGGGCGGCUGAGCUAAAUGCAGAUGACUCAUGGAAACAGGAAUCCUGAGAGAAGAGAGCAGGUGUCGGGCAAGAAGUUUUACUCUGUUUUACUGUGAUUAAUUAAGAAGGUAUGCAACUUCUGAUAGCAUUAAAAUGCUCCUAAUGCACGUCCCAGGACACUCCUGUUGUAUUUGGAGACCAAGCAGUACCUCAUGCAGGAGGCCUGAGUAUCACUGUGAGUCUCCGUCCCCCAUGGCCUCAAAAGAAGCAGCUGUCAGGCAGCAAACAGACAGAAGUAAUGACGUCAGUGUGCCAGAUCAGCUAGAACCUGACUGAAAGCUCAAGCUUUCAUCUCCAUCAGUAAGCUCACUUCUGCCAGAGGAACUGGUGUGCUGUCCUUGCAGCAGGAAACUCCGUUAGUGCCAGAGAAACAGCACUCCCUGCCUCAAUCAGUGCUGCUCCUUCUGAGAUGUGUCCCCGCACCGCUGCACGGUGCAGCAGCAGCAGCAGGUCACUAACAGGGCACUCUGCUGUCAUCGCCUCACUCACCUUCACCUGUGCACUUGAAACCUUUCAUCCUUCGUGGGAGCACUGUGUGUACACUAUGUGGCAAUGCAAACACUCGCUAAAGGGCAGUUCUCAGCAAGCUGGAGAGGUAGAACAGACGGAUGGAGGAAAAAUACAGCAAGGUGACUCCAUCCUCAAUAUUUUGGCUUUUUUUUUUUGACAUCUUGUUCUGUCACAUCACUGUCUUCCAUGGGAGAUGCACCUCUGGUCUGCUGCACAAUCACUUUGGGCAUUGAAUGCUCAGUAGGUGUGGAUUUUGAGGCAUUUUCCACCUUCAACAAAAUACCUUUUGUGCACAGCUGGUAGGACAUUUGUAAACAGCUGCUAAAGACAAAAAGAAAAAGAAAAAAAAACAUUGUUCAACCUUUUUUGCAGCCAUUUGUUCACUGUAAGGAGAGGGAAUGCCAAUGUUCUUGAUGACUACAAAGACACUGCAUUUUUUUUGCCAACCCAGCAGUAGGGAUCUGAAGAAACGUGCCAACAUCAAUCACCUUGAAAUAAGGCAGCAAGAGUGUCCUUUACUGUAAACUGAGUCAUGGUCAGACUGGUUUCUUAUUGGAGAUGAAAUCACAGGAAUAUCAUGCCUCAUAGGGAAUCUUCCCCUUCUUCCCAAGGACAGGGUUUUCUGUGUAGCAGAUACCAGUUUUAGCGCUCAGGAAGUGCUGAGGCACACAUAACCCCACACCACGUACCAAGGCCAGGGUUCUCCUUCGCUAACGCUGCCUGCUCCUUCUGUGCACUGCGUGAGCCAUGGCAGAGCUGCACAGCCUGCGUACAUCUCCUUGACAGAGCCUGAGAAUAGGCAGAGUCGGAGUCUGCUGCAGCCAAGGGCGGGGUGACCCCAACCAUCGUGGAUGUUGUGAAUAACUGACGGUGUUGUUAUGUCUGCUGCCUUGGUUUUGUUUCUUUUGCGCUGCUCCUGUUCCAGAACUCACAGCCACCCAAGUCUUGGCCUCUGUGAGAUUUGUUGUGAAGGAACAGAGAGGAGAUCCAAGAAACCAGCCCACCCCUGUUCAGGAAUCUUUGCUGAAUGCUUUGCAAUUCCUAAGGGGAAAAAUGACUAAAGCUGAAAUAAGAUCAAACUCUUGGCAUCAUGAGGAACACCCCAGGUACGCUGACAACAUUUACUGGGCAAAGAAACAGUGUCUGUGGUGUAAACAGCAGCACAGCAUAUAGUCUGACUUCUGAACUACCCUUACUGCUUAUGCAGACCUACCGCUAUGGAUGUUUUCUGCCGGUUGAUUUUGGUUAAACAUACCUAUUUUUACGAGUGGAAAUUGAUUUAAAACUUGCGUUGAAAGGAAUAUUGUGUCAUCUCUUUUCAUUAGUCUGCAAUAUUCUGAAGGUUUCCUUAAAGCUGCAUUAAACUUUUUGCCGAGCAGCAGUACCACAUACAAAUGCAAGCUCUGCUUAUCUUUAAUGUUACAAGGUAUAAGCAAAAUAAAACGAUUCUGCAGCGCAACGUUCCAAUUCACAACUCAGUGUAGAUAACACAGAAUUUGGGGAGUUAUAAGAAAGAGCCAAAAGUACAGAUGCAGUGUUUUGAGGAAAAUCCUACUCCUGUGUUUUGUUUUGUUUUUUUUGUAAUAAAUGCCAACGGUGCUCUACUCUCACAGUACUUCCUUUGUUCCAGCACAAGGUCUGCCUGCACCAGGAAACAAAACUCAACCUGUGGGCUUGAAUCGGAGCCUGCGCUAUGUCACAAUAUCACAUAUACUCACAAUACCAGAUUUCUUCUGCUGUGACUAAAUUUAUGUAAUUGACGUAAUUUAGAUCAGUUGAACUAGUUAACAUGAAAUGUACUCUUCAAACGUAUUUCAUCACCUAGUUCCAUUUUGGCAGCAGCUGAUGUAGCACACGCACGUAUACAUUCAAAAUUAACAGCAUGGUAACAUUUUGGAAUGCUGUGUCCAGAUGUGGGGUCCUCAGUACAGGAGAGAUGUGGACCUGUUGGAGUGUGUCCAGAGGAGGGCCACAAAAAUAUCCAAGGGAUGGAACACCUCUCCUUUGAGGACAGGCUGAGAGAGCUGGGGCUGUUCAGCCUGCAGAAGAGAAGGCUGAGAGGUAACCUGAGAGCGGCCUUUCGGAAUCUAAAGAGCGGGGUAGAAGAAGGAAGGGAACAGGCUCUGUAGAGGGGUCUGUUGUGAUAGGAUGAGAGGUAAUGAUUUCAAACCAGAAGAGGGGGGAUUAAAAUUGGAUAUAAGAAAAGGUUUACUGCAGUAAGGAUGGUGAGGUGCUGGAACAGGUUGCCCAGAGAGGUGGUACACACCCCAUCCCUUGAGACAUUCAAGAUCAGGCUAGACAGGGCUCUGAGCACCUGAUCUAGCUGUAGGUGUCCCUGUUCAUUGCAGUGGGACUCGAUGACUGUUAAAGCUCCCCUUCAACUCAAACAAUUCUGUCAUUCUGUGAUUUCCCUCAGAUUGAAUUAUAGCCCCUUUCCCUCCAUGACUUUAUUUCCACCUGCACUUUCCAUUUUCCAUCCCAAAUAUUCAGUAGGGAUAGCUGAUAAAAAUAAAAUUAUUUUGAUUUAAUUCAAACUUAACCAAAGUUGCCUUGGAGCACGGCAUCUAUGAUGAAGAAUUCACUUAUCAGUAACCGAUUGAAGGUACAUGGUCGUUAUUACAAUGUACUUUACUGCAGAAAAACUGUAUCAGCAGUUAUGUGUAAAUAAAGAUUAGAUUUUCAACCAGAACAUUGCCUGAUAAGAAACAUAUUCAUUUUGUCUGAGAAGGCCACCAGAGAACUAAGAGUCAUCUUGUUUGUGGGGCUCUGGGGAGAAGAAACAUUCAAACAUUUUAAAUGUGGCGUUUGUUCAUACCUACUAUUUGUGAUAGAUGCUCAGUAGAAUGGGAACAGAAACCAGCACCACCACUCCAUUCAACUGUAAAAGUACAACUUAAUAAGGCGUGGAAAUAGUUUAGAUUAGUGCAACAAAUGAAUGAACAAUAACUGAGUGAUACGUAUUGCACAUCGCACGUGAAAUUACUACCUUGAGUUUGUCAAUAAUUUUUUUUGUGUAAUUCACAUACUGUUUGUACUUCAUACGUACUCAGUUGUAAUGCCUGCAGACAAACACAAAUUCAUUAAGAUACACUUUUAGAGCUGGUUUGUUUUUGCCAUGGUUUUGCUACACCUGGUGGGUAUCAGUGUUGAGCUGAGAAAUCAGUGCAGCUGGAAUGCAAAACACAUAAGGAAAUGCAGAAAUCCAUUUGUAGUAGGGAGGUGCCCUAGGCGACAGUGACUGAAACAAAUAUUUGACUUCUCUUUUCUGCUCAAAUCUGGCUGCCCACAAACAAGAAGUCAGCUCGCCUUAAGAAGCUGUCCAUGCUCUGAGAUAAAGGCAGGAGACUGACCUGUCUGUUUAGAGCAGAGGGAGGCCACAUGUGACAAGUGCUCGCUACCGUCCUGAACUCAUUUCUCUACGUGGCACUCAUGUAUUGCUGUGGUAGAAAUGGUCUAAGAGCAUGAUUAGAAAAAAUGUUUUGGAAUGCAGCUCAAAAUAAUUGUAAAAAAAUCUGCUAGAAAUACAGAAAAGCAAAAUGUGUACUUUUAAAACACUUAAGAUCUACAUGUGAUCGGAUCUUUAAGCAUAGCAAAAAUGGUAAAUCAUUUCAGGUGAGAACUGAGCAUCGCAUCUCAUAAUACAGCACCAGUCAGUAUAACUGUACUUUAGAAAUGAGAAAGUGUAAUUCUCUACUUUGUACCUACAUACAUUUCACUUUGCAGUGAAGAUGGAUAAACCACAAAAAUAUACAAAUGAGACCAGGAAUCAGGAACACAGGAGAUGCUCUACAGCAUUGAAGCCAUCGCUUCUGGCAGAGAAGAUACUCAUUCCUGGUGUUUCACAACCUGAAGUUUAAAAUGCAGGUUAGAAGCGGAUGAACGUGCAGCAUUCCUCCUCCACUAAACCACCACACCUUUGGAUAAAGGACAGAUGUUCAGUUCUUGCUUUGGGAGCUGUAAUGCAAGGCAUUGCUGACGCUGUUUCUGGGAAACUUUCACACGCUAUGAAAGAGAGAGAUCCACAGUGACAGUAAUCCCUUAAGGGUCGUCCUGCUCCUUCAGUCCUCUUUCCAAGAAACAAACAAACAACAACAACAAAAAAACCAACCAGCAAACAAAAAACCCCACCAUCUUUAUUAAUUGUAGAAUAGAGGCUGAUCAGGCCCACUGUACAGUCAGAGAAGUUUCUCUAAGCACAGAUUUCUAGUGUGAAGAACAAACAGGGCAGCAACUGUUCUUGUUGAAAGAAGGCACACUUUAAAACGGUGUAACGCUUUCCAUACAAAGCUGAGUGUGCUCCAGAGAACCUUUACAACUCUGUAGUCGUAGAAGGUCUCUGGUAGUUAGUCAUCAGUUCUUUCUCUCCUUUUUUUUGUUCUAAUUUUUAGUAC